GAUUUAGACCUGGAAGUGCUUCCGGGGCGGAGGACUUGGGGGGUGGCAGAGGAGGGCGUGGGUGCGUCUGGUAUGGGAUGCCAUGCAAAGGAGGGGGCCCUCCUAAAUAGAUCCGUGGGUGGUUCCUUUGACUCUUCUAUCAUUUUGCCCUUUGCUUUGCCGAAGAGAGAGUCCCCAUGGUCUCUGCUCAAAUUCUGGAAACUUUCUCUUUGGGUGGGCUUAAUCACCUACUACUUUAUUAUAGAACUACCCAGAGCCUUUCCUGAUACUGGGCACAAACGUGGGGAAUAUGUCAGAAAACAGGAAGCCGCUGCUGGGCUUCGUGGGCAAACUCCCCAGUGGGACUGCACUUGGGAACUCAGGCAAGACUCACUGCCCUUUGUGCAUGGGGCUUUUCAAAGCCCCCAGGCUCUUGCCUUGUUUGCACACAGUUUGCACCACGUGUCUGGAGCAGCUGGAACCCUACUCGGUAGUGGACAUCCGAGGGGGCGACUCUGACACAAGCUCUGAGGGGUCAAUAUUCCAGGAACUCAAGCCACCCAGUCUGCAGCCCCAGAUCGGCAUCCUCUGUCCGGUAUGUGACACUCAGGUGGACCUGCCCAUGGGUGGAGUGAAGGCUUUAACCAUAGACCACCUGGCCAUGAAUGACGUGAUGCUGGAGAGUCUUCGUGGGGAAGGCCAGGGCCUGGUGUGUGACCUGUGCAGCGACAGGGAAGUGGAGAAGAGAUGUCAGACCUGCAGAGCCAACCUCUGCCACUUCUGCUGCCAGGCUCAUAGGCGGCAGAAGAAAACAACUUACCACACGGUGGUGGACCUAAAAGACUUGAAAGGCUACAGCAGGAUCGGGAAGCCCAUUCUGUGUCCCGUGCACCCUGCAGAGGAGCUGAGACUGUUCUGUGAGCUCUGUGACCGGCCCGUGUGCCGGGACUGCGUGGUGGGCGAGCACCGGGAGCACCCCUACGACUUCGCCAGCAACGUUAUCCACAAGCACGGGGACUCCGUGCGGGAGCUUCUCAGAGGCACCCAGCCCCACGUGGAGGCCCUGGAGGAAGCCCUGGCACAGAUCACAGAGAUGAACAGUGCCCUCCAGAAGCGAGUGGAGGCUGUGGCAGCUGACGUGCGAACGUUCUCCGAGGGUUACGUCAAGGCCAUUGAGGAGCACCGGGACAGGCUGCUGAAGCAGCUGGAAGACAUCCGGGUCCAGAAGGAAAACUCCCUGCAGCUGCAGAAGGCACAGCUCGAGCAGCUGCUGGCGGACAUGCGGACGGGCGUGGAGUUCACUGAGCACCUGCUGACCAGUGGCUCGGACUUGGAGAUCCUCAUCACCAAGGGGGUGGUAGUGGAACGGCUCACGAAGCUGAACAAAGUCGAAUAUAGUGCCCAUCCUGGAGUGAACGAUAAGAUACGCUUCUCUCCUCAGCAGAGAGCAGGCCGGUGCCGUGGCUAUGAAGUUUAUGGGACCAUCAAUACGAAAGAGGUCGAUCCAGCUAAAUGUGUCCUUCAAGGAGAAGAUCUCCACAGAGCCCGGGAGAAACAGACAGCCUCUUUCACCCUGCUUUGUAAGGAUGCAGCAGGAGAGAGCAUGGGCAGGGGAGGAGACAGCGUGCACGUCGCUGUAGUCCCCAAAGAUAAGAAAGACAGUCCGGUCAGAACGCUGGUACAAGAUAACAAGGACGGGACGUACUAUGUCUCCUAUACUCCCAAGGAGCCUGGCGUCUAUACCGUGUUGGUCCGCGUCAAAGAGCAGCAUGUGCAGGGCUCACAGAUAGGAGCUACGUCGGAGUCGUAAAUCCAAAGGUGUUCACUAUAUUCUCAUCCUUUUCUGGGAAGAUUCCCCUCCAUGCUCUCUAACCCACAUCUCAUCUUCCCAGAAGACACUGAUGGCCCCAUGACCCUCAUGAAGUGUUAGCUACUUGCUUUUCCUCACUCCUUCCAACUGCUCCAACCAGAGCUCAGGUUUCUGCUCCUGUGUCAAACAUCGCAUCUGAGCAGUCUCUAGCUACCUUGGAUAAGAUAGCAUCUCCCCACCCCAGGACUCUGUAUCACCCUUAUUCGGCGUCCUCACCACCUCACACACAUACUCUACUUGUUUAAUGUCUGUUCUCUCAUAUGACACUCGGCUCUGUGAAGACAGGGACUUGACAUCAUCGAUUAUAUUGUCCCCAUGUAGGACAGUUCCUGGCACACAGAAGAGGCUUAAUCAUUUUGUUGAAUAAAGGUAUCAUUUGGUGCACGUU